rnacentral:piRNA from 1 species
UGGUCCUUGAUUAAUUUUCAU